AACAAUUUACCUUCUGAAAUUCUUAUUGGGAUUGUUUUGACUGACUGAUAGCUAUUGUCAGGAUAUAUCAUGAUCUAUCUUCCAGUCCAGUUUUGUUCUGUUCACCUUUGAAUUGUUGAAGCACCACUGCCAGAUUUUCUUUAUAUGUAAUCACUGACACUUCUAAGAAUAGUUUGGACAUGUAUUUUCUUGAUCUUCUCAAAAUAUUUUCCCGCACCAAGUGACUCUAGACACCGGUUUUGGGCUCGUUUCAUCUCGUGGAGUAACUUGCUAGAGAUACUCCUCAGGCUGCACUUUUCACUGGUCUGUAUGUCCUUAAAGGAGAACCCAAAAUGCUACCCAUUUUCACUGACAGCAGAACAUGGUUUCUUUACUUGUGAGAUUAUUUUUAUCAUUUAUUUCACUGUACAUUAUUCACUCACAGGAUGACUAUAUGCUAUGUAAGUAGAUGGAGCGAUGAGCAUGAUACUAGUUGCUGUUUUCCUCCUAUAUGUCUUACAAUUCUCAUGUAUUUUUUCUGUACUUCGAUUAGACUUGCCAGAUUCUCUGUAUAGUCACAAUCUAUUCGACUCGUCUACCUGGCCCGUCUCAUAUGCAAUCAGAUUCCCUAAUUUCAGGACUUAUGGUGCUGCCCUGUUAUGAAAGUUGUUUAGUAAUUGUCGCUGUUAGAUUGUUGUAAUCGAAGCAACUUCUUACAAUCAGGCACAACUGUCUCGUACAGGGCUCAAAUCUUGCCAGGCUGCCCCCUCCAGAGAGUGCAAUUGAAUUGUUUGUGACCAACAAUAAGUUUUGAAAUAUUCAACUAUUUUUUGUUAUUACUUUUACUGCACCUUGUUGCUCAUUUGACUCGCAUUAAUGUGCGGUUUCCAGAGGCUUUGAUUAUGGCUGUAGUGGUUUUAUUUUUUCAUGGCACAUGAUAUUUACUAUAGUCUUUGUGCAUACAUACCACAGAUAUGGCAUUCUAUUGUAUACAAGGACUGACUCUCACUUCUGUUGGCAAUACUUGGCCCAUAACUGCAGUUGCAUUAAGCAGCUUGCUUGGUUACUUGCUGUGGUUCAGACCUUUCUUACUUGAGCAUCUUGCAAACAUUUCACAGUUGACGUUUUUGUUUCCUGGUAUACUGUAAAUUUGGUAGCAUUCUUUACUGACAAGAAGCUGCCAGGUUAGUUUUUCAUAUUGAUUUCUUUCCCAUAAAAAUCACUUCUCAUGGUAUAUUUCAUGGAUACAUUUUUGGAAGAGAAGAGUUGACUGAUAACGUUAUUCAUCAUCAAAUGUGUUUCUUAAAUGGAGUGUUUAUGUUGGAGGGGUGCGUUAGGCACCAAUAUCUUCAUUUCAGAUUUACCUGAGCGGCCCGCUGGACUAACAUCUCUGCCACUGCUACCUCAGAGUAGAGACAAGGAUAGCAAAAACAAAGAAGAGCACCUCCCAUUACUAACUGGGGUUUCUUUUGAGAAUGAGGAUUGAUUAUUGGUAAAUGAAUGCUGCUAGUCAUUGUAACCAGUUUUGCCUUGCCAUUUGUCUCUAGGCAAUUUGAAAUUGUUAGAUGUCUGCCAAAUGGAGAGCACAAAUGGAUCAUGAGAUUGAAGCUAGGAGCAUAGGUGGGAUAGCGGUUAGCUCUGCUGGUGUUGCCGCAUUGAAUGUGCCUAAAAUUUAUGUUCGAACCAAUGCGUCCGCAGCUCAUUUUGCUUGUUAGAUAAACCUCAGUUUCUGUAUUGAUUAAAAAUGGAAUGAAAUGUUUUGGCUUUCUCAAA